rnacentral:rRNA from 1 species
UAAUACGUAGGGUGCGAGCGUUAAUCGGAAUUACUGGGCGUAAAGCGUGCGCAGGCGGUUGUGUAAGACAGGUGUGAAAUCCCCGGGCUUAACCUGGGAACUGCGCUUGUGACUGCACGGCUAGAGUUUGGUAGAGGGGGGUGGAAUUCCACGUGUAGCAGUGAAAUGCGUAGAGAUGUGGAGGAACACCGAUGGCGAAGGCAGCCCCCUGGGCCAAUACUGACGCUCAUGCACGAAAGCGUGGGGAGCAAACAGGAUUAGAUACCCUGGUAGUCCACGCCCUAAACGAUGUCGACUAGGUGUUCGGUGAGGAGACUCAUUGAGUACCGCAGCUAACGCGUGAAGUCGACCGCCUGGGGAGUACGGUCGCAAGAUUA